rnacentral:rRNA from 1 species
GACGUAGGGCGCGAGCGUUGUCCGGAUUUAUUGGGCGUAAAGAGCUCGUAGGCGGCUCGUUGCGUCGGCUGUGAAAACCCGCAGCUCAACUGUGGGCUUGCAGCUGAUACGGGCGAGCUGGGAUUCGGUAGGGGAGACUGGAAUUCCUGGUGUAGCGGUGAAAUGCGCAGAUAUCAGGAGGAACACCGGUGGCGAAGGCGGGUCUCUGGGCCGAUAUCGACGCUGAGGAGCGAAAGCGUGGGGAGCGAACAGG